rnacentral:rRNA from 1 species
AUUGAACGCUGGCGGCAGGCUUAACACAUGCAAGUCGAGCGGGGUGAUGGUGCUUGCACUAUCACUUAGCGGCGGACGGGUGAGUAAUGCUUAGGAAUCUGCCUAUUAGUGGGGGACAACAUCUCGAAAGGGAUGCUAAUACCGCAUACGUCCUACGGGAGAAAGCAGGGGAUCACUUGUGACCUUGCGCUAAUAGAUGAGCCUAAGUCGGAGUAGCUAGUUGGUGGGGUAAAGGCCUACCAAGGGGACGAUCUGUAGCGGGUCUGAGAGGAUGAUCCGCCACACUGGGACUGAGACACGGCCCAGACUCCUACGGGAGGCAGCAGUGGGGAAUAUUGGACAAUGGGGGGAACCCUGAUCCAGCCAUGCCGCGUGUGUGAAGAAGGCCUUAUGGUUGUAAAGCACUUUAAGCGAGGAGGAGGCUCUUUUGGUUAAUACCCAAGAUGAGUGGACGUUACUCGCAGAAUAAGCACCGGCUAACUCUGUGCCAGCCGCCGCAGUAA